AUUUUUAAUUCAUGUAUACAGAAAUAUUGGAGGAAAUCCCUUGCUUAUUUUUCUCACGCCCCUGUUUCCAGCAGCGCUCUGAGGUGGGCUACUUUCUCGUAAGCUGCACCAUCGCACGGAUGAAAUGCACAUGUCACUUGCAUAAACUAGUUAAGAAAGUACAAUUAUAAAAGCUGGGACUUCCAUUUUUUUAUCAGAAGUUUCU